rnacentral:rRNA from 1 species
UACAGAGGUUGCAAGCGUUGUUCGGAUUUAUUGGGCGUAAAGGGUCCGUAGGCGGUUUGGAAAGUCAGAUGUGAAAUCCCACAGCUCAACUGUGGAACUGCAUUUGAAACUUCCAGACUAGAGUAUGAGAGGGGUUAAGGGAAUUCCCGGUGUAAGGGUGAAAUCUGCAGAGAUCGGGAGGAACACCAGUCGCGAAGGCGCUUAACUGGCUCAUUACUGACGCUCAGGGACGAAAGCUAGGGGAGCAAACGGG